rnacentral:rRNA from 1 species
UACGUAGGGAGCAAGCGUUGUUCGGAAUUACUGGGCGUAAAGGGCGCGUAGGCGGCUUCUUAAGUUUGGUGUGAAAUCUCACGGCUCAACUGGGAGGGUGCGCCGGAUACUGAGGGGCUAGAGUGUGGGAGAGGAAAGUGGAAUUCCAGGUGUAGCGGUGAAAUGCGUAGAUAUCUGGAGGAACACCGGUGGUGUAAACGGCUUUCUGGACCAUUACUGACGCUGAGGCACGAAAGCGUGGGGAGCAAACAGG